GCCCGGGCGGCGCGGGCCCCGCGAGGCUGCCCGCGGAGGCAGCGUGUGGCAAACGCCGUGUGUCUCAGAAGUGGAAAAUUACGUCAAGUGUAAUUUGACAUGUUCGUGUUACAGAGUAGGGUUCCGGUUCCAUGGGCUUUUCCCCUUAAAACUAAUACAAGUGUGAGAAACAAGCGCAUAGUUUUGAUUGUGACGCUCUUUCAGCGUACAUGCUGCCUUCAAAGCUCUUCUUCAGUCACAGGUCGGCACAUCUAAGUAGCAUUCGCGCUGUUGGGCUGGGUGACGAAGCUGUUGAUUUAACAGGAAAUCAGCUGUGUGUGUUGAUGGACUGAAUGCUAAGUGCACAGGUGCCAUGAGGUCAAGUUGAAAAUCUGUAUAUACAGAAUAUGCUGUCAUCUAAUUCUUCAGGCAGAAACAGAAUUGUGGACCUCCUGUUGUGAGUUUAGGAGAACGUGGAAGAGCGAUCCUGGGACUUGAGGCAGAAAGUAUAAGUUGCAUUGUGCUGGAAUCAUAUAUUGCUGCAUUUGGCAGUCUUGUAUUCUUACCCAAUUUAUUCCGCAUCAUGCACUUAACAAAUACACUGCCAUAUUAACUGAAGGACU